rnacentral:rRNA from 1 species
AGUGAACGCUGGCGGUAGGCCUAACACAUGCAAGUCGAACGGCAGCACAGUAAGAGCUUGCUCUUACGGGUGGCGAGUGGCGGACGGGUGAGGAAUACAUCGGAAUCUACUUUUUCGUGGGGGAUAACGUAGGGAAACUUACGCUAAUACCGCAUACGACCUACGGGUGAAAGCAGGGGAUCUUCGGACCUUGCGCGAAUGAAUGAGCCGAUGUCGGAUUAGCUAGUUGGCGGGGUAAAGGCCCACCAAGGCAACGAUCCGUAGCUGGUCUGAGAGGAUGAUCGGCCACACUGGAACUGAGACACGGUCCAGACUCCUACGGGAGGCAGCAGUGGGGAAUAUUGGACAAUGGGCGAAAGCCUGAUCCAGCAAUACCGCGUGGGUGAAGAAGGCCUUCGGGUUGUAAAGCCCUUUUGUUGGGAAAGAAAAGCAGCAGGUUAAUACCCCGCUGUUCUGACGGUACCCAAAGAAUAAGCACCGGCUAACUUCGUG